GCAAAAUGGAAAGAAUUGCGAAGAUUUUUUUUUUAAAUUUUGUUUUAAUUUGUAUUUUCCUGUUAUAAACAUUCUUUAGUCGGGCUAGAAUCAUAAUUUAGAAAUUGCUACUUAUUUGGUUUGAAGUCGGCGAGAGACCCAGUGAACAACAACAUGGCUCUUCAAAAAGGCAAGUUUCAGAAACUAGACAAUAAACAAAGCGCCAAAGAAUGCAAGAACGACGGCAGGGUAUGACAGAAGACGAAGGGAGAGAUGCGAAUGAACGACAGCGCCAAAGCCGAUUGUGUAUGACAGAAGAAGAGAGGAGAAAUGCGAAUGAAAGGGAACGCCAACAACAACAAUCAGAACGCUGGCACGUAUAAGUAACAGAAGAGGAGAGGAGAGAUGCGAAUGAAAGACGGCGCCAAAGCCGAUUGUGUAUGACAGAAGAGCAAAGAGGGCGAGAAAGGCAGAAAAACAAAUAGAGAAAACGGAAGAAGAUUGACAAUCUUUCCAGCGCUACAAAUAGUUCAGGAUUUAGCUGAAGAAACACUCAAGCUAGAGAAGAUAACAACUUAACCAGUCAAGAAUGUUUAGAAUCAG